GGACUUGUAACUCAACGGAUAGAGUAUCGGUCUUCGGAACCGAGAGUAGGGGUUCGAAUCCCUUCAGGUCCA
rnacentral:tRNA from 1 species